UACGUAGGGGGCAAGCGUUGUCCGGAUUUAUUGGGCGUAAAGAGCGUGUAGGCGGCCAGACAGGUCAGCUGUGAAAACUCGAGGCUCAACCUCGAGACGUCGGUUGAAACCGUCUGGCUAGAGUCCGGAAGAGGAGAGUGGAAUUCCCGGUGUAGCGGUGAAAUGCGCAGAUAUCAGGAAGAACACCCGUGGCUAAGGCGGCUCUCUAGUACGGUACUGACGCUGAGACGCGAAAGCGUGGGAGCGAACAGG
rnacentral:rRNA from 1 species